UCCUCAGCCAAAAUAGCUAAAGAAAUAAUGAAAACCCAUGAUCUUUUAUUUUGUGGUAGGCCUUCCAUGCUUAGCCAGCAGAAGUUGUCCUACAAUGGCUUAGACUUGGCCUUUGCACCUUAUGGUUCUUAUUGGAAAGAGAUAAGGAAGAUAUGUGUAAUUCAUCUCUUCAACUCUAAUAGAGUGAGAAGUUUCCGUCCCAUUAGAGAGUCUGAGGUUUCCCAUAUGCUUGGAAAGAUCUCGAAUUCAGUUGUUGCUUCCAAACCUGUAGAUUUGACUGAGGCUGUGAUGUCCCUUACAAGAAUUAUAAUUUGUA
rnacentral:misc_RNA from 1 species